CAGUCGCCGCGGGAAUACGAAGGGGGCUAGCGUUGCUCGGAAUUACUGGGCGUAAAGGGCGCGUAGGCGGACAGUUCAGUCGGGGGUGAAAGCCCGGGGCUCAACCUCGGAAUUGCCUUCGAUACUGGCUGUCUUGAGUAUGAGAGAGGUGUGUGGAACUCCGAGUGUAGAGGUGAAAUUCGUAGAUAUUCGGAAGAACACCAGUGGCGAAGGCGACACACUGGCUCAUUACUGACGCUGAGGCGCGAAAGCGUGGGGAGCAAACAGGAUUAGAUACCCGGGUAGUCCCUGUCUCUUAUAA
rnacentral:rRNA from 1 species